GGUCGGGUCCUGUGCAACGGGAGCCCGUGAACCGAGUCAGGGCCGGAAGGCAGCAGCUCUCAGCGGUGCCUGCCGUGUGCCGCAGAUCGCCUGGCCGUC
rnacentral:SRP_RNA from 1 species